AAUGCACCAUUUCCCAAUUUGACCAGCUUCAAGUAAUAUCAGUUAAACUGUAUUGGAUUUCAUACUGCAUAUGCCAAAACUCCCUUUCUAAGUGUGUUAUGCAUGGGAUGUCACUAUUCCAACUCUAUGCAAUAAUAGCUUUUACUCUAUUUUACCCAGGAGGAAACUGAGGCUCAGGGAGUGACUAUUCAUGGAAGGUCGGAGGGUGACAAAAGCCCCACUGUGCAACCAGUGAUGGCGGCAGUGACACGUGGAGAGUCGUCCUUCUUUCCUGAAGUCUUUCCCACAACUUCUCCAAUCCUUUCUUGCAGGUGGACAAGAGCCUCUUUUGAAAGCCAGGGUCAUUAUGGAAAAUGAUCUUUCACAGCAGAGACACUUCAGAGCACACAUAGGAGAUGGGAGCUUUUUUCUUUUAAAUCACAGUGGCUAUGCUUCUUCGGGUGCUCAUCUGGUUGCUUACUGGACUGGAUUGGACAAGCGCCGUCCCGGUGUUUACAGAGGCAGGGGUGUCCUGCUUCAGCUGGGCCUGGGAGCCAGCAGCUGCCACUCCAGGAGCUCCAAGUCAGCUUUACCUGGGUCACUCCACGUGAUAGUCUCAGGUAUUUGCUGUUCAGAACUGAAAAACACGUUGGCGUGAAAACCUGUUGGUGACUCUUUGUAGAUUCAGUAUUUCUAAUCGCUAUAAACUGAAACAACCCCAUUGUCUUUGGAUGGGUGACUCAAACCAUGGAAUUCUACUCAGCAGGAAAAGGAGCGAUCUGUCGAUACACUUCGUGACGUGGACGAAAUUCAAAAAUGUCAUGUGAAAUGAAAGAAACCAGUCCCCAAAGGCUACCUGUGGCAUGAAUGAGAACAUUUACACAACAUUCUGGAAAAGGCAAAACUAGGGGGAGGAAAGCAGAGCAGUGGACUCCGAGGGCGUGUGGGGUAGGGUUGGACUCUACAGAGGCAACACAGGAAUGUGGCUGGGUCAGGGAACUCUUCUGUGACCUAAUUGUGGAGGUGUUAACACUGCCCUGUAUGCAUCUCCAAACUCAGAACUGUAUUCUAAAUAAACAGCAAGACUACUGCCUCCAGAUUUAAAUAUGAAUCACAUAAACAAAAUAAAUUUAAAUGUAAACCAAGUAAGCAAAAAUACUGGCUAAGAUUUACUGAGCAUCUGUAGUGCCCCAAGCCCUACUCUAGGUGUGCAUGUGAGGUCCUGAAGGGAAGCCCCUCCAUUUCUCAGCCUCUCUCAGGGCAACGUCUGCCACCCCUUGGCUACUCAUCUUUUUACCUAAACUGCUGGGAGUCCGAUUUCCCAGAGCAGCGUAACCCUGUU